rnacentral:rRNA from 1 species
CAGUCGCCGCGGUAAUACGAAGGGGGCUAGCGUUGCUCGGAAUGACUGGGCGUAAAGGGCGCGUAGGCGGAUUGCGCAGUCAGAUGUGAAAUUCCUGGGCUUAACCUGGGGGCUGCAUUUGAGACGCGUAGUCUUGAGUAUUGGAGAGGUGAGUGGAAUCUCCGGUGUAGCGGUGAAAUGCGUAGAUAUCGGAAGGAACACCUGUGGCGAAAGCGGCUCACUGGACAAUUACUGACGCUGAUGCACGAAAGCUAGGGGAGCAAACAGGAUUAGAUACCCGCGUAGUCCCUGUCUCUUAUAC